CCUGAGAAAGAGACCAAAGGGGGCCUCUGCUUGCAAGCUCUCGCCCGAUGAGGGGGUCGCGUCGUAUCAGCUUGUUGGUGGGGUAACGGCUCACCAAGGCUAUGACGCGUAGCGGGUCUGAGAGGACGAUCCGCCACAUUGGGACUGAGAUACGGCCCAGACUCCUACGGGAGGCAGCAGUGGGGGAAUUUUCCGCAAUGGGCGAAAGCCUGACGGAGCAAUACCGCGUGAGGGAGGAAGGCCUUUGGGUUGUAAACCUCUUUUCUCAGGGAAGAAGAUCUGACGGUACCUGAGGAAUAAGCAUCGGCUAACUCCGUGCCAGCAGCCGCGGUAAUACGGAGGAUGCAAGCGUCAUCCGGAAUCAUUGGGCGUAAAGCGUCCGCAGGUGGUUUUUCAAGUCUGCUGUUAAAGACUGGAGCUCAACUCCGGAAAGGCAGUGGAAACUGAGAAACUAGAGUUCGGUAGGGGUAGCGGGAAUUCCCAGUGUAGCGGUGAAAUGCGUAGAUAUUGGGAAGAACAUCGGUGGCGAAGGCGCGCUACUGGACCGAAACUGACACUCAGGGACGAAAGCUAGGGGAGCGAAAGGGAUUAGAUACCCCUGUAGUCCUAGCUGUAAACGAUGGAAACUAGGUGUGGCUUGUAUCGACCCGAGCCGUGCCGUAGCUAACGCGUUAAGUUUCCCGCCUGGGGAGUACGCACGCAAGUGUGAAACUCAGAGGAAUUGACGGGGGCCCGCACAAGCGGUGGAGUAUGUGGUUUAAUUCGAUGCAACGCGAAGAACCUUACCAGGGCUUGACACGUCGCGAAUCUCCUUGAAAGGGGAGAGUGCCUUCGGGAGCGCGAACACAGGUGGUGCAUGGCUGUCGUCAGCUCGUGUCGUGAGAUGUUGGGUUAAGUCCCGCAACGAGCGCAACCCUCGUCUUUAGUUGCCAGCAUUAAGGUGGGCACUUUAGAGAGACUGCCGGUGACAAACCGGAGGAAGGUGGGGAUGACGUCAAGUCAGCAUGCCCCUUACGCCCUGGGCUACACACGUACUACAAUGGUUGGGACAAGGGGCAGCGACCCCGCGAGGGAAAGCAAAUCUCAUCAAACCCAGCCUCAGUUCAGAUUGCAGGCUGCAACUCGCCUGCAUGAAGGAGGAAUCGCUAGUGAUCGCAGGUCAGCAUACUGCGGUGAAUUCGUUCCCGGGCCUUGUACACACCGCCCGUCACACCAUGGAAGCUGGUCACGCCCGAAGUAGUUACCCUAACCUUUCGGGGGGGGGGACUCCUAAGGCAGGGCUAGUGACUGGGGC
rnacentral:rRNA from 1 species